CAAAUGAGAAAUUUCACGGGCCUAAAGCCCGUGAUAAUUUCGACCUAGGGUUGUUUAUUGGCUAUUAUUUUAUUGAUUUUUUAAUAAAAUAAAUGACCUAAAUGAUUCUAUAAAAUGAAUGUUAAGAGAGAGUUGAAAUCAAAAGUCACACAAGUCACAAGAUGACAGACACUGGUUUUCCGAUUGUUUUUAGAUUAUCUCUAAACACAAAUCAUUUUCUAAGCCUCUUUGUUAUUUUCUAUUCUUCUCUCUGUAUCUAUCUCAUAUGUUGAGAAUUGCCCACUCUAGUCUAGGUGAUUCUAAGGAUACUUUGGAAGACUGUGAAGAUUAUAGAAGAUCGGUUCAGAUUCUUGGUUAUACUCUGCGACAGAAAGGAUACAAGGGUUAGAGAAACUGAAGGAAUGACUCAUUUAUUCCGCUGCGUAUAAUGUAAGGGUAAAGGAAAGGUCGACCAACCAUGAGUGCAGAGAGUGUGGAGCGACGGGUACAUGUUCGGCUUGUCUGGCCGCCACAACUAGGGUUAUUUUUGGGGAAAUUUAUUGUAAUAGUUGUUUUGUCGCCUAAGUCGACCAUAUGUAUAUUUUGAUCUGUAAUGUAUUUUCUAAAAAAUAUUUUGGGAUCCCAACUGUAAAACUUUCUAAGAUUUCAAUGAAUAAUCAAAUGUUUUAUACUUAA